rnacentral:rRNA from 1 species
GACGAACGCUGGCGGCAUGCCUAACACAUGCAAGUCGAGCGAGUAGAUCCCUUCGGGGUGAAGCUAGCGGCGGACGGGUGAGUAACACGUGGGCAACCUGCCUCAUAGAGGGGAAUAGCCUUCCGAAAGGAAGAUUAAUACCGCAUAAGAUUGUAGUGCCGCAUGGUAUAGCAAUUAAAGGAGUAAUCCGCUAUGAGAUGGGCCCGCGGCGCAUUAGCUAGUUGGUGAGGUAACGGCUCACCAAGGCGACGAUGCGUAGCCGACCUGAGAGGGUGAUCGGCCACAUUGGGACUGAGACACGGCCCAGACUCCUACGGGAGGCAGCAGUGGGGAAUAUUGCACAAUGGGGGAAACCCUGAUGCAGCAAUGCCGCGUGAGUGAUGACGGCCUUCGGGUUGUAAAGCUCUGUCUUCGGGGACGAUAAUGACGGUACCCGAGGAGGAAGCCACGGCUAACUACGUGCCAGCAGCCGCCGUAA